UACGGAGGGUGCGAGCGUUGUCCGGAAUCAUUGGGCGUAAAGGGCGCGUAGGUGGCCUGCUAAGCGUGCGGUGAAAGUCGGGGGCUCAACCCCCGAUCGGCCGUGCGAACUGGGAGGCUUGAGCACUGUAGAGGCAGGCGGAAUUCCGGGUGUAGCGGUGGAAUGCGUAGAGAUCCGGAAGAACACCGGUGGCGAAGGCGGCCUGCUGGGCAGUUUGCUGACACUGAGGCGCGACAGCGUGGGGAGCAAACAGG
rnacentral:rRNA from 1 species